GUGCCAGCCGCCGCGGUAAAACGUAGGACGCAAGCGUUAUCCGGAAUUACUGGGCGUAAAGCGCGUGUAGGUGGUUGCAUAAGUCACUGUUGAAAGCUCCCGGCUAAACUGGGAGAGGUGCGGUGAGACUGUGCGGCUAGAGUAUGGGAGAGGGAUGCAGAAUUCCGGGUGUAGUGGUGAAAUGCGUAGAGAUCCGGAGGAAUACCAGAGGCGAAGGCGGCAUCCUGGCCUAAAACUGACACUGAGACGCGAAAGCAUGGGGAGCGAACGGGAUUAGAUACCCGAGUAGUCC
rnacentral:rRNA from 1 species